GGAUUGUGGCUCAGCGGUAGAGUGCUCACCUAGCAAGUGUGAGGCCCUGGGUUCAAUCCUCAGCACCA
rnacentral:tRNA from 1 species